AAUCAACGCUGGCGGCGCGCUUAACACAUGCAAGUCGAACGAGAAAGGGGAGCAAUCCCUGAGUAAAGUGGCAGACGGGUGAGUAACACGUGGGUAAUCCACUCCUUGGUGGGGGAGUAACCCUGGGAACCGGGGCGUAAUACCGCAUAAGUCCGAGAGGAGAAAGGCGAAAGUCGCCGAGGAAGGAGCCCGCGGCCGAUUAGCUAGUUGGUAGGGUAAA
rnacentral:rRNA from 1 species